AUGAACGCUAGCGACAGGCUUAACACAUGCAAGUCGAGGGGCAGCACAGGUAGCAAUACCGGGUGGCGACCGGCGCACGGGUGAGUAACGCGUAUGCAACUUGCCUAUCAGAGGGGGAUAACCCGGCGAAAGUCGGACUAAUACCGCAUGAAGCAGGGGCCCCGCAUGGGGAUAUUUGCUAAAGAUUCAUCGCUGAUAGAUAGGCAUGCGUUCCAUUAGGCAGUUGGCGGGGUAACGGCCCACCAAACCGACGAUGGAUAGGGGUUCUGAGAGGAAGGUCCCCCACAUUGGUACUGAGACACGGACCAAACUCCUACGGGAGGCAGCAGUGAGGAAUAUUGGUCAAUGGGCGUAAGCCUGAACCAGCCAAGUCGCGUGAGGGAUGAAGGUUCUAUGGAUCGUAAACCUCUUUUAUAAGGGAAUAAAGUGCGGGACGUGUCCCGUUUUGUAUGUACCUUAUGAAUAAGGAUCGGCUAACUCCGUGCCAGCAGCCGCGGUAAUACGGAGGAUCCGAGCGUUAUCCGGAUUUAUUGGGUUUAAAGGGUGCGUAGGCGGCCUUUUAAGUCAGCGGUGAAAGUCUGUGGCUCAACCAUAGAAUUGCCGUUGAAACUGGGGGGCUUGAGUAUGUUUGAGGCAGGCGGAAUGCGUGGUGUAGCGGUGAAAUGCAUAGAUAUCACGCAGAACCCCGAUUGCGAAGGCAGCCUGCCAAGCCAUUACUGACGCUGAUGCACGAAAGCGUGGGGAUCAAACAGGAUUAGAUACCCUGGUAGUCCACGCAGUAAACGAUGAUCACUAGCUGUUUGCGAUACACUGUAAGCGGCACAGCGAAAGCGUUAAGUGAUCCACCUGGGGAGUACGCCGGCAACGGUGAAACUCAAAGGAAUUGACGGGGGCCCGCACAAGCGGAGGAACAUGUGGUUUAAUUCGAUGAUACGCGAGGAACCUUACCCGGGUUUGAACGCAUUCGGACCGAGGUGGAAACACCUUUUCUAGCAAUAGCCGUUUGCGAGGUGCUGCAUGGUUGUCGUCAGCUCGUGCCGUGAGGUGUCGGCUUAAGUGCCAUAACGAGCGCAACCCUUGCCACUAGUUACUAACAGGUGAUGCUGAGGACUCUGGUGGGACUGGCAGCGUAAGCUGCGAGGAAGGCGGGGAUGACGUCAAAUCAGCACGGCCCUUACAUCCGGGGCGACACACGUGUUACAAUGGCGUGGACAAAGGGAGGCCACCUGGCGACAGGGAGCGAAUCCCCAAACCACGUCUCAGUUCGGAUCGGAGUCUGCAACCCGACUCCGUGAAGCUGGAUUCGCUAGUAAUCGCGCAUCAGCCAUGGCGCGGUGAAUACGUUCCCGGGCCUUGUACACACCGCCCGUCAAGCCAUGGGAGCCGGGGGUACCUGAAGUCCGUAACCGAAAGGAUCGGCCUAGGGUAAAACUGGUGACUGGGGCU
rnacentral:rRNA from 1 species